rnacentral:rRNA from 1 species
CGCGUAGGCGGGAAAGCAAGUCAGGUGUGAAAUCUAUGGGCUCAACCCAUAAACUGCACUUGAAACUGUUUUUCUUGAGUGUCGGAGAGGUUGACGGAAUUCCUAGUGUAGCGGUGAAAUGCGUAGAUAUUAGGAGGAACACCAGUGGCGAAGGCGGUCAACUGGACGAUAACUGACGCUGAGGCGCGAAAGCGUGGGGAGCAAACAG